GACGAACGCUGGCGGCGUGCUUAACACAUGCAAGUCGAACGGUGAAGGGGAGCUUGCUCCCCGGAUCAGUGGCGAACGGGUGAGUAACACGUGGGCAACCUGCCCCAGACUUCGGGAUAACGCUUCGAAAGAGGUGCUAAUACCGGAUACGAACUCCUUGGGCAUCCUGGGAGUUGGAAAGUUUUUCGGUCUGGGAUGGGCCCGCGGCCUAUCAGCUAGUUGGUGAGGUAACGGCUCACCAAGGCGACGACGGGUAGCCGGCCUGAGAGGGCGACCGGCCACACUGGGACUGAGACACGUCCCAGACUCCUACGGGAGGCAGCAGUGUGGAAUAUUGCGCAAUGGGCGAAAGCCUGACGCAGCAACGCCGCGUGAGGGAUGACGGCCUUCGGGUUGUAAACCUCUUUCAGCAGGGAAGAAGCGAAAGUGACGGUACCUGCAGAAGAAGCACCGGCUAACUACGUGCCAGCCGCCGCCGUAACAC
rnacentral:rRNA from 1 species